CACGUAGGGGGCAAGCGUUGGUCCGGAUUUAUUGGGCGUAAAGAGCUCGUAGGCGGCUCAGUAAGUCGGGUGUGAAACCUCCAGGCUCAACCUGGAGACGCCACCUGAUACUGCUGUGGCUAGAGUCCGGUAGGGGAGCGGUGGAAUUCCUGGUGUAGCGGUGAAAUGCGCAGAUAUCAGGAGGAACACCAGCGGCGAAGGCGGCGCUCUGGGCCGGAACUGACGCUGAGGAGCGAAAGCGUGGGUAGCAAACAGG
rnacentral:rRNA from 1 species